rnacentral:tRNA from 1 species
UGGCUUAGCUGGUAGAGCAUGGGACUCUUGAUCCCGGGGUUGUGAGUUCGAGUCCCAC